AGAACGAACGCUGGCGGCAUGCCUAAUACAUGCAAGUCGAACGAACACUUCGGUGUUAGUGGCGCACGGGUGCGUAACGCGUGGGAAUCUGCCCUUGGGUUCGGAAUAACAGUUGGAAACGACUGCUAAUACCGGAUGAUAUCGAAAGAUCAAAGAUUUAUCGCCCAGGGAUGAGCCCGCGUAGGAUUAGCUAGUUGGUGAGGUAAAGGCUCACCAAGGCGACGAUCCUUAGCUGGUCUGAGAGGAUGAUCAGCCACACUGGGACUGAGACACGGCCCAGACUCCUACGGGAGGCAGCAGUAGGGAAUAGUUGGACAAGUGGGCGCAAGCCUGAUCCAGCAAUGGACCGCGUGAGU
rnacentral:rRNA from 1 species